UACGAAGGGGGCUAGCGUUGCUCGGAAUCACUGGGCGUAAAGGGUGCGUAGGCGGGUCUUUAAGUCAGGGGUGAAAUCCUGGAGCUCAACUCCAGAACUGCCUUUGAUACUGAAGAUCUUGAGUUCGGGAGAGGUGAGUGGAACUGCGAGUGUAGAGGUGAAAUUCGUAGAUAUUCGCAAGAACACCAGUGGCGAAGGCGGCUCUCUGGACCGAGACUGACGCUGAGACGCGAAAGCGUGGGGAGCAAACAGG
rnacentral:rRNA from 1 species